rnacentral:rRNA from 1 species
AACGAACGCUGGCGGCAGGCUUAACACAUGCAAGUCGAACGCGUGUAGCAAUACACGAGUGGCGCACGGGUGAGGAACACGUGGGAACCUACCCUCCGGUACGGAAUAACCCCGGGAAACCGGGGCUAAUACCGUAUAUCUCCCAAGGGAGAAAGAUUUAUCGUCGGUGGAGGGGCCCGCGUCCGAUUAGCUAGUUGGUGAGGUAACGGCUCAACAAGGCGACGAUCGGUAGCUGGUCCGAGAGAACGAUCAGCCACACUGGGACUGAGACACGGCCCAGACUCCUACGGGAGGCAGCAGUGGGGAAUAUUGGACAAUGGGCGCAAGCCUGAUCCAGCCAUGCCGCGUGAGUGAAGAAGGCCUUCGGGUUGUAAAGCUCUUUUAGCGGGGACGAUGAUGACGGUACCCGCAGAAUAAGCCCCGGCUAACUUCGUGCCAGCCGCCGCUGUAAAAC